UACGAAGGGGGCUAGCGUUGCUCGGAAUCACUGGGCGUAAAGCGCACGUAGGCGGCUUUGUAAGUUAGAGGUGAAAGCCCGGGGCUCAACCCCGGAACUGCCUUUAAGACUGCAUCGCUUGAAUCCAGGAGAGGUGAGUGGAAUUCCGAGUGUAGAGGUGAAAUUCGUAGAUAUUCGGAAGAACACCAGUGGCGAAGGCGGCUCACUGGACUGGUAUUGACGCUGAUGUGCGAAAGCGUGGGGAGCAAACAGG
rnacentral:rRNA from 1 species